AUCAGCAGUUUAGCAGCAAUUAGCAUUUAUUGCUUAAGCAAACUCAUUGUGUGCAGAGUGCAAGCUCUGGCCUGGCUUGUCAGCUGCCUUUUGCACUUGUCUGCCCUUGGCUUCGCCGCGUUUGACUAUUUAUAGCGUCAGCUUGUUAGCGCUGUUGGCCAAGUAAAGUAAGGCAAUCGGCCUGAUUGGUAAUUGGGAAUUCAUCAUAAAUAAAUAAUAUCCAAGUGGGUGGAAAACAGCGAAUUGCAGCGAAUUCGUUUUUGCGCAACCAUUAGAUUAAUAAUAUUUGAGUUGUGUCGGUAACUUGUCUAAAUUGUAUGUAGCUCGAGGAUACGAGGCACGCAAACACACAGUGGCAGAUGUGGAGGAAGAUGGAGGUAUGUGCAUAUAUAUAGCUUUAAGUGGAAACAAGAGACAAACCGACAGGUAAACUGAAAAACAGCCGGCAGACAUAGCAGAGCGCAAAAUAAACACGCUGCAAACGAGAGACAAGUCGAGGCAGUUAGGCAACUGGCACACGGGACGAUAAUGGGUCGUCGCAAUAGUACAUGCGAAGGAUAAGGGUAAGGCAAAGGGCAGCGGUAAGGAGGUCUGAGACUAAGGAAUAGCACAACGCAGGACAACAGGCAGGCCGUCAGCUGAAGCUCAGGCUCAAGCACGAGACCAAGACCAAGACCGAGACACUGUUUGGCUUACCUUGGCAGUCAAUGUCAGAGCAAUUGAGUCAAGCCAUGGGCAUAGCUGGAGUACACACACACACGCACACACAUACUUAUAUAUACAUACAUAUACAUUUAUAUGUCUACAUUUUCUGAAGACAGUCGUCACACUCGUCUUUUACUUUGUGGCAACAGCACCUACAUACGUGAAUGCCAAAUGACCAGGUCACACAUGGGACUGACGGAAGGACUGACUGACUAACUGAGUGAUGGACUAAGUGACUCUGUGAGCACACUGUGGGGAUCAAGCUGUAAGCUGUAAGCCUGCUUUCACAUACCCUUGCAAUACGAAUGCAGAUAUUAAAUGUAAACAGAUUUACAAUUUAA